CCCUGAGGUCGUAUAACACGGUCCAUCUCCAGCAUGAUAUCUUCUAGUAAGCAACCUUCUCCAUGGUUUCCAUAAUGCGUGAAGAGAUGAUUGGCAUGCAACAGAUCAUGAUAUGUAGAGAAUGGUUCACACCAAUCAUGAAAAGCACCUAAGAGACCCCUGUCAUAAAUAGCAGACAAUGUAUUCAUCAUGCUCAUAGGAACUAUAUUCAUCACCCAAACAGGCAAUGUGUUCAAAGCCACAGCAAAUCCACCAAGAAAAGCAUUCAUGUCCAUGAUGUUUCGUAUGUCUGUCUCACUAACAUCUAUCAGCUUCCAGUAAUUUCUGACUUGAUUUUUCCAGAACAUGGCAUCUGAAACAAACUCUUCUUUACUAAUACCUAUUUUGAUGAGACUCUCUGAAUAUAAAGAGAGACGCUCAGGCCUGGGAGGGAGUUUCUGAGAAUUUGUUUGUGCAUCUCUUCUUGUUAUACAGUUCCUCAGCGGUGUAUUCCAUGAUGGUUUAAUAUUAUCCACAGUAUCACAUAUACUUAUGAGCUUCAUUUUGGCAUUGUGCAUUAGACAUGAAUCAUUUUCCUGUUUAACCCAGAUUGCUGUCUGAACUUUUCGAGCAAUGAGUUUCCAGCACAUUGCUGAAGUCAGAUUGACCAAUUUUUCCCAAAUCAGUGGAUAAUCUUUAUCCUUUC
rnacentral:misc_RNA from 1 species